GGUGGGGUGUGGCUCAGUGGUAGAAUGCUUGCCUAGCAUGCACAAGGCCCUGGGUUCAAACCCCAGCAUCACCA